rnacentral:rRNA from 1 species
GACGAACGCUGGCGGCGUGCUUAACACAUGCAAGUCGAACGAUGAAGCUAGAGCUUGCUCUGGUGAAUUAGUGGCGAACGGGUGAGUAACACGUGAGUAACCUGCCCCGAACUCUGGGAUAACUGCUGGAAACGGUAGCUAAUACUGGAUACGACCUACGAAGGCAUCUUCUGUAGGUGGAAAGAAUUUCGGUUCGGGAUGGACUCGCGGCCUAUCAGCUUGUUGGUGGGGUAAUGGCUGACCAAGGCGACGACGGGUAGCCGGCCUGAGAGGGUGACCGGCCACACUGGGACUGAGACACGGCCCAGACUCCUACGGGAGGCAGCAGUGGGGAAUAUUGCACAAUGGGCGCAAGCCUGAUGCAGCAACGCCGCGUGAGGGAUGACGGCCUUCGGGUUGUAAACCUCUUUUAGUAGGGAAGAAGCGAAAGUGACGGUACCUGCAGAAAAAGCACCGGCUAACUACGUGCCAGCCGCCACCGUAA